rnacentral:rRNA from 1 species
GUGAGCCAGUACAGGAUGGACCCGCGUCUGAUUAGCUAGUUGGUAAGGUAACGGCUUACCAAGGCGACGAUCAGUAGCCGACCUGAGAGGGUGAUCGGCCACAUUGGAACUGAGACACGGUCCAAACUCCUACGGGAGGCAGCAGUGGGGAAUAUUGCACAAUGGGCGAAAGCCUGAUGCAGCAACGCCGCGGGAGCGACGUAGGCCUUCGGGCCGUAAAACUCUGUCCUCAAGGAAGAUAAUGCGGGGACUUGAGGAGGGAGCCCCGGCUAAUGACGGGCCACACGCCGCGGUAAUACUGAGGGGGCUAGCGUUAUCCGGAUUUACUGGGCGUAAAGGGUGCGUAGGCGGUCUUUCAAGUCAGGAGUGAAAGGCUACGGCUCAACCAUAGUAAGCUCUUGAAACU